rnacentral:misc_RNA from 1 species
GCGAGUUCAGCUCUCUAAGACCAUUGUGAAAGCACCUACAGUGUUGCUUCGGCGGGGCCACACCCGCCGGCAGUACCAAACUCUGCAAUUAUUGUAUCUCUGAGUAAACUUUAAUAAGUCA